AGAGUUUGAUUAUGGCUCAGAUUGAACGCUGGCGGCAGGCUUAAUACAUGCAAGUCGAACGGUAACAGCAGGAAGCUUGCUUCCUGGCUGACGAGUGGCGGACGGGUGAGUAAUACCUGGGGAGCUGCCUGAAUGAGGGGGACAACACCUGGAAACGGGUGCUAAUACCGCGUAAGCCCUGAGGGGGAAAGGCUGGGCAACCAGUCGCAUUCAGAUGCGCCCAGGUGGGAUUAGCUAGUUGGUGGGGUAACGGCCUACCAAGGCGACGAUCUCUAGCUGGUCUGAGAGGAUGAUCAGCCACACUGGAACUGAGACACGGCCCAUACUCCUACGGGAGGCAGCAGUAGGGAAUUUUGCGCAAUGGGGGAAAAACCCCUGACGCAGCAACGCCGCGUGACCGAUUAAGCCCUUCGGGGUGUAAAGGUCUGUCAGUGGGGACGAAAAAUGACGGUACCCACAGAGGAAGCACCGGCUAACUCCGUGCCAGCCGCCGC
rnacentral:rRNA from 1 species